CGAAAUUUGUUAACUUAAUAUAAUAGAAGAUGUUUCGUUUUAAAUUAAGAAACGUUAAAAUUAUUAAGUUAAAAACAUUUGAUUUUAAUGACACUUAAAAUUAGACACAAUUUUAUAGGUUACUAACUAAAAAUUGAAAAAACAACAAUAAAUAAUAAAAAAUAAUAAUAAAAAAUUGAAAAAAUCAAAAAAUUCUUAAAAAAUUGCAAAAUAACCCUUUUUCGGGUUAAAAUUGAAAAAAGAUGUUACAUAAAAAUAGUUUGUAAGAUUUUCUAACAGCAUAUAUGCAAAGUAUUUUGAUUUAUUUGAAAAUAAUUGAAAAUAGAUUUUUCAAGGACGGUGUCGAGGUCACGGGGUCGGUGUCGUUUUUCGAAAUUUGUUAACUUAAUAUAAUAGAAGAUGUUUCGUUUUAAAUUAAGAAAUGUUAAAAUUAUUAAGUUAAAAACAUUUGAUUUUAAUGACACUUAAAAUUAGACACAAUAUUAUAGGUUACUAACUAAAAAUUGAAAAAACAACAAUAAAUAAUAAAAAAUAAUAAUAAAAAAUUGAAAAAAUCAAAAAAUUCUUAAAAAAUUGCAAAAUAACCCUUUUUCGGGUUAAAAUUGAAAAAAAAUGUUACAUAAAAAUAGUUUGUAAGAUUUUCUAACAGCAUAUAUGCAAAGUAUUUUGAUUUAUUUGAAAAUAAUUGAAAAUAGAUUUUUCAAGGACGGUGUCGAGGUCACGGGGUCGGUGUCGUUUUUCGAAAUUUGUUAACUUAAUAUAAUAGAAGAUGUUUCGUUUUAAAUUAAGAAAUGUUAAAAUUAUUAAGUUAAAAACAUUUGAUUUUAAUGAAACUUAAAAUUAGACACAAUAUUAUAGGUUACUAACUAAAAAUUGAAAAAACAACAAUAAAUAAUAAAAAAUAAUAAUAAAAAAUUGAAAAAAUCAAAAAAUUCUAAAAAAAUUGCAAAAUAACCCUUUUUCGGGUUAAAAUUGAAAAAAGAUGUU